rnacentral:rRNA from 1 species
UACAGAGGUCUCGAGCGUUGUUCGGAUUCAUUGGGCGUAAAGGGCGCGUAGGCGGCGGGGUAAGUCUGGUGUGAAAUCUCGGAGCUCAACUCCGAAAUUGCACUGGAUACUGCUCUGCUAGAGGGCUGGAGAGGAGAUCGGAAUUCACGGUGUAGCAGUGAAAUGCGUAGAUAUUGUGAGGAAGACCAGUGGCGAAGGCGGAUCUCUGGACAGCUCCUGACGCUGAGGCGCGAAGGCUAGGGGAGCAAACGGG